UUUUUAGCUGCUCCUGAAAAUGUUUCAAGUUGCUGUUUACACCAUGUAAACUGUUGCAAGGAAAAUUCUCUUAACCCACAUGCAUCACUGCUGAGCUGCCAGAAGUAUAGCUAUUGUCUUCAUGAUCUGAAAACAGCCAUACCCAAAACCUCUGGUGACAUCUCUUAGAAAUGUGAUGAAAAGAUUUGCAGAAUCACAAAGAUGCAUUGUCUAUACAGGCUGGUUUUGAACAUCUCCCAAGGUUAAUUUUCACUGGCCCUAAGGGGAGGUGGUGGAGGACCACUGAGUCAAAAGUGAUCCAAAAGCUCAUACCAGGGGAAGACUUUUCAAUUCAGAACUUGCAACAGAUGACCGGUGUAAAAGUUUGGUGAGGCAAAA
rnacentral:lncRNA from 1 species